rnacentral:lncRNA from 1 species
AGUUGGCAAUUUUUAUAAUUAGUACGAAAAAUUUUUAAACGGUCAUAAUUUUUUCUUUAGGUGUCUUUUUCAGCGUGCAAUGCCAAUUCAAAAAAUAUUUUUUGAAAUCUACACGUUGAACCGUAAAGCAGUUCCGGCUGAAUUUGAGAUCCAAAUUUAACUGCUUAGACUUCUUUUUUUGUAUUGUUAGGUUGCUUUUGGAAAGUUUUUUUUUUUUAUUUUUUCUAUUUUGAGUCAAGUUAUUUAGUUAUUUUUUAUUGGUUUAAAUUUAGAAAUAUAUUAGAAUUUAUUAUCUUUUGUCAACUAGGAUUUGGAU